rnacentral:rRNA from 1 species
CCUACGGGUCGCAGCAGUGGGGAAUAUUGGACAAUGGGCGAAAGCCUGAUCCAGCCAUGCCGCGUGUGUGAAGAAGGCCUUCGGGUUGUAAAGCACUUUCAGUGGGGAAGAAAGCCUUGGGGCUAAUACCCUCGAGGAAGGACAUCACCCACAGAAGAAGCACCGGCUAACUCCGUGCCAGCAGCCGCGGUAAUACGGAGGGUGCGAGCGUUAAUCGGAAUUACUGGGCGUAAAGCGCGCGUAGGCGGUCUGAUAAGCCGGUUGUGAAAGCCCCGGGCUCAACCUGGGAACGGCAUCCGGAACUGUCAGGCUAGAGUGCAGGAGAGGAAGGUAGAAUUCCCGGUGUAGCGGUGAAAUGCGUAGAGAUUGGGAGGAAUACCAGUGGCGAAGGCGGCCUUCUGGACUGACACUGACGCUCAGGUGCGAAAGCGUGGGUAGCAAACAGGAUUAGAUACCCGGGUAGUC